CGAACGGACGAGAAGCUUGCUUCUCUGAUGUUAGCGGCGGACGGGUGAGUAACACGUGGAUAACCUACCUAUAAGACUGGGAUAACUUCGGGAAACCGGAGCUAAUACCGGAUAAUAUUUUGAACCGCAUGGUUCAAAAGUGAAAGACGGUCUUGCUGUCACUUAUAGAUGGAUCCGCGCUGCAUUAGCUAGUUGGUAAGGUAACGGCUUACCAAGGCAACGAUGCAUAGCCGACCUGAGAGGGUGAUCGGCCACACUGGAACUGAGACACGGUCCAGACUCCUACGGGAGGCAGCAGUAGGGAAUCUUCCGCAAUGGGCGAAAGCCUGACGGAGCAACGCCGCGUGAGUGAUGAAGGUCUUCGGAUCGUAAAACUCUGUUAUUAGGGAAGAACAUAUGUGUAAGUAACUGUGCACAUCUUGACGGUACCUAAUCAGAAAGCCACGGCUAACUACGUGCCAGCAGCCGCGGUAAUACGUAGGUGGCAAGCGUUAUCCGGAAUUAUUGGGCGUAAAGCGCGCGUAGGCGGUUUUUUAAGUCUGAUGUGAAAGCCCACGGCUCAACCGUGGAGGGUCAUUGGAAACUGGAAAACUUGAGUGCAGAAGAGGAAAGUGGAAUUCCAUGUGUAGCGGUGAAAUGCGCAGAGAUAUGGAGGAGCACCAGUGGCGAAGGCGACUUUC
rnacentral:rRNA from 1 species